CUCUAGUUGAGAGUAGGACAGAUUUUAAUCAUAUAGCCAGACCUCUGGAACUCCAGCCCGCAAACCAUGUAGUCUCACUCCAGUCAUUUCAUUAGUCUCACAAUAAUAUGACCUUCUAAUUAAUGAAAUUGAAUUUUGGGGCCCUAUUUUUCUGUCAUGGUGGGGUUUACUGUAGGGAGAAGACAAGUGUAACAAAAGGAAAACAAAGAUUGCUAUGUGGGUGGGGUGAGAGGGAUGGAGCAGAGCAGCAGUCCUCUCUGGGACUGGGAUAUUCAACUGAAACUUGAAGGUAAAGCACAUGGGAUGGCUGAAAUUGCAGAUGCCCUUUUUCCUUGGAUGGAUCUCAACCAAAUAUCCCAGAACAUCUGGAAUCUUUCACUGUGGAAAAAAAUAAACAAUAAAGGCAUU
rnacentral:lncRNA from 1 species